rnacentral:lncRNA from 1 species
CAUUAUUUGUAGACUUGUUAAUGAUGGCCAUUCUGACUGGUGUGAGGUGGUACCUCAUUGUAGUUUUGAUUUGCAUUUCUCUAAUAAUUUGUGAUGUUGAGCAUCUUUUCAUGAGCCUUUUGGCUAUCUGUAUGUCUUCUUUGGAGAAAUGUCUAUUUAGGCAGAAGACCUAAAUAGACAUUUCUCAGAAAAACCUCCUAAAUUUUAACGAUGUCCCAUUCAUAUCCUAGAGCAUUGUAUGCUCUCUGUUUUCUAUGGUGCUUAAUCAGGUUUGUGUUUUAGACAUCCCACAGCUGGGGGUAGGGCGGGGAAGCAGCAAAUACAUUUGGCUCAGGCCUCUUCUUUGCCUUGGCUGAUUUGAGCAUCAGAGGAGCUCAGUAAUUGCUGUUGAAUGAAUAAAUGACUGAAUGAAAGUUGCUUUUGCCCUGACAGUAAUUAAAUACAGUCAUCAUCUCCUCAGCUUGUAGUUCCUAAAACUAUAUGGCAAAUGUUCCCAUUGAUUUUGCUUCUUUUAAGAACUAGGAGAUUAAAACCAUCAAGUCUGUAACAAUAACAAUUCUAAAAGUGCACAUAACUGUCCUCUGACUCUCACAUUGAUGCUAUUAGUUGUGAAUGGCCCAAUUUGAGGAGCAAAUUUGUACGUAUUCCAAGGUAAGAUGGCUUUACUAUUUCUUUUGGCAUAUUUGUUUGUAUAGCUUUUAUAGUCAGUACAAACCUACAGAUUUUUUUAAAAGAAAGCAUCUGUGGUUAAAAGAAUAGUAAGAAUCAGUUUUAUAAAAAAAAAAUUUUUUUUUAAAUUUUUACCCAAAUCUCUUAAUAAGAAAGUUUAUUGUCUGAAAAAAGAUUCUUUGGAAUGGUGGUAGCUGAGGAAGAACUCAGUCAUAAUUUUCUAACUUCUCCUAUUUCAGAAUUUAUCUACUUCUUCAACUUACGAAAGUGCUCUGGUGUAGUGGAAAAAGGUCCCACCUGUACAAGAGAACCUUAAAAUGACAGUUCUAGAUCCCCUUCUCCAUUAACUUUGUAAUUCGAGAUCAUUUUCUUUGCAUUAAAUAAAUGCUCAAAUGAUUCUGCUAAUGGCUGUGAGUAUUUUUACUCAAGACUUUUAUCUCAGUAUGAGUUUUCAGACAUGAAAAUGCAGGCAGUUAACUUUCAUUGAAUUCAAAAUGCUUAGGCCUCAGAAUUUGCAUAAUUUUGUGAAAAUUAUAAAGAAACUACUUAACUUAGGUAACCAUUAAAAAUUAAUGGAACUUCAGAGGGGCCGAUAAUUCACAUUCCCUCCAAGGAAACUCUGGGACGUCAAGACAGGCCACCAAGUGUCCUAUUUCCAAAGAUAACCUAAUGCUCUAAGGCAAGAUCAUUAACUUUCUGAAUUUCUGUCAUUGAGUUAAGACCCUUGAACAAAGAUAGUAGACUUCUCAGAGGUAGGAGGGUUGUCCCAGAAAGCAAGACUCUCACCUGGAGUCAGUCAGUUAGUCAGCCUGUCAGUAAAUGCUUAUUUAGUGCCUGCUGUAUACUGGACACUGAGCUAAGUAUUAGAAUACAGUGGGAAGCCAGGCACAGCCCUGCCUCUUGGAGCAUGCUUUCUAGUUGAAAGGAGCCAUCGCGGCAGUGCCAGUGCCUCUGCCCCAUGUCCCUCCUUCAUCCCCAUCCAACUCGAUUGACAUCAGGAGAAGGGCUUUAUUUAUUUGUUUGCUUAUUUAUUUAUUGAAUAUUUGGCCACAGCCACAGCAUGCAGAAGUUCCCGGGCCAGGCAUUGAACCUGAGCCAUAGCAGUAACCCAAGCCACAGCAGUGACACCAAGUCCUUAACCACUAAGUCACCAGGGAACUCCUAGAGGAGGGCUUUAGAAAGCAACACUAAGAUGUAUCCUAUAAAUGCCUUCUAAUCUGGAAUCUGGAGAUUUCUAAAUCCUUUGCCUAAGAGACAUUACUUGGAAGGAUGCCUUGUGGAGAUCUUUUUGACAGUAUUGGUCAGACCAAAACCAAGGUAGAAACUCAGAUUGGUGGGACUGUGAUCUUCCCAGCCAGAGAAGCUGAAUAUGGCCCUAUGUGGGCCCUGCCUUCAGUGGAGAGAAGGCCUGGCUCCAGGAGUGCCCUUGGUCUUGGCCGUAAGGUGCUGUGAAGAAGGCAGCUCUCUUUCUUGCCACUUGAACAAAGUACUUAAACACUAUUUGUGGAGUUACCUUGUGGUGCCAUGAGUUAAGUAUCCAGUAUUGUCACUGCAAUGGCUUGGGUCCCUGCUGUGGUACAGGUUCCCUCGCCUAGGAACUUCCACAUGCUUCAGGUACGGCCAAAAAAAUAUCCACACAAAAACAAUAAAACUGUUGGUUUUUACCACUCACAUUUGAAAAUCUUUGGCUACGAAAUGGAAUAAGUCUGAAGAGACUCAAUUAGAGCUGGCUCUGGCACUAGCUCGUUGUGUACUUGAGUUCCACUUGCCUAGCCUCUUAGUUUCUCUUUCUGUGAAAGAAGCAUCCCAAAGCUCUAUUUCCCAAUCUGGGAAUCCCAACAGAGUAGUCACACAACCCGUUGUUGCUUUUCUCCCACCUCCUUUGGGGUUCUGUCCCAAACAGGUAGGUGUCACUUAUUUACAAAUUAGAAAGAAAGCUAUUUUAUCAUGCAGUAUACACUUCACAUUUGCAAGUUAAUGCUUUAAAAUCUGCCAGAACAUACAGAUGAUUGUCAGUGCUAAGACGCCUGCCUUACGGGGAGACCGCUGUGAUGUCACUGCCUGUGUGUUUCACAGGGGCAGGGCCACCAUGGCCUCGCCAACCAGUCGCUCUUAUUUCAGCAGAUAACACCUUCUCCGUGAACCACCCUCUGGAGAAAAUAAUCAGGCCAAUGCCAUUUAAUUGUUUUUUUCUUAUCCUUUUUAUAAUAAUUUCAUUGUUUGGAUGCUUCUGAUAUUUGGACUCCCAGAAAAAAAUUAUUUUUGGCUGCUGUCAUGGAAGAACUUUGCUGGUUUAUGUGGUAGCCUGCCUCCUUUACAAGGCCUUGUUCAGAGGUAGAAAAUGACAUUACAUCAGAUGCUACAUGAUAUUUCAUCAUCUUAGUGUCUAUUUUAUUUAAAGGUAAUUUAAAAUGUGGUUCCAAGCUCACAUAACUUGCUCGUAACAUUUGAGCAAAAAUCAGUUGAAUCAGGCAGCUCCAAAUGCUAAGUGGUUAGGAGGUAGGGGCAAGAUUUUAUUGAGAAUCAUGGAAACAAAUCAAGGAAUUAUUUGAUUGGCUAUAACUUCAGCAGUUGCCUUAUUUGGGAAAGUCUGGUUGGUUCUUUGUGAUCUGUGUCCUUAGGUUCUUAACCUUGAGGCAUUCACAGGCUCAAGUUUUGGUUUGCUCACAUAGGCUGUCAAGGCGUUAGAACCACCUCCAUCUCAAGGGUUCCAUAUUUAAUUAAUUUUACAUACAUUAAAGUAAAACUAUAUUGCAUAGAAAUGUAUCAUAUAUUGGAAUAUAUUGUACAUUAAUAAGAGCAAUAUACUGGAAUUCUCUUGUGGCUCCACUAAUUAAGGAUCUGACAUUGUCAUUACCAUGGUUCAGGUCACUGCUGUGGCAGGGGUUUGAUCCCUGGCCCAGACACUUCCAUAUGCCAUGGGUGUGGCCAAAAAAAAAAAAAAAAAAAAAAAAAAA